CAGCCGCCGCGGGAAUACGUAGGUCCCGAGCGUUGUCCGGAUUUAUUGGGCGUAAAGGGAGCGCAGGCGGUUUAGUAAGUCUGAAGUUAAAGGCAUUGGCUCAACCAAUGUAUGCUUUGGAAACUGUUAGACUUGAGUGCAGAAGGGGAGAGUGGAAUUCCAUGUGUAGCGGUGAAAUACGUAGAUAUAUGGAGGAACACCGGUGGCGAAAGCGGCUCUCUGGUCUGUAACUGACGCUGAGGCUCGAAAGCGUGGGGAGCGAACAGGAUUAGAUACCCCUGUAGUCCCUGUCUCUUAUACA
rnacentral:rRNA from 1 species